CGGGUGUAGCUCAGUUGGUAGAGCAUCAGCCUUCCAAGCUGAGGGUCGCGAGUUCGAAUCUCGUCGCCC
rnacentral:tRNA from 1 species